UAGGGAAUCUUCCGCAAUGGACGCAAGUCUGACGGAGCAACGCCGCGUGAGUGAAGAAGGAUUUCGGUUCGUAAAACUCUGUUGUUAGAGAAGAACAGCGCAUAGAGUAACUGUUAUGCGUGUGACGGUAUCUAACCAGAAAGCCACGGCUAACUACGUGCCAGCAGCCGCGGUAAUACGUAGGUGGCAAGCGUUGUCCGGAUUUAUUGGGCGUAAAGCGAGCGCAGGCGGUCAAUUAAGUCUGAUGUGAAAGCCCCCGGCUCAACCGGGGAGGGUCAUUGGAAACUGGUUGACUUGAGUGCAGAAGAGGAGAGUGGAAUUCCAUGUGUGGCGGUGAAAUGCGUAGAUAUAUGGAGGAACACCAGUGGCGAAGGCGACUCUCUGGUCUGUAACUGACGCUGAGGUUCGAAAGCGUGGGUAGCAAACAGG
rnacentral:rRNA from 1 species